rnacentral:lncRNA from 1 species
CCAUGUAGAUAUCAUUAGUGCUGUGCCACGCUGACACUCGGUCAGUACCAUGUAGAUAUCAGUGCACAGUUAGUGCUGCACCACACUGACGCUUGGUCAGUACCAUGUAGAUAUCAUUAGUGCUGUGCCACGCUGACACUCGGUCAGUACCGUGUAGAUAUCAGUGCACGGUUAGUGCUGCGUCACACCGACGCUCGGUCAGUACCAUGUAGAUAUCAGUGCAGUUAGUGCUGUGCGACGCUGACGCUCAGUCAGUACCACGUAGAUAUCAGUGCACGGUUAGUGCUGUGCCACGCUGACACUUGGUCAGUACCGUGUAGAUAUCAGUGCACGGUUAGUGCUGCGCCACCCUGACACUCGGUCAGUACCUUGUAGAUAUCAGUGCACAGUUAGUGCUGUGCCACGCCGACGCUCGGUCAGUACCAUGUAGAUAUCAUUAGUGCUGUGCCACGCUGACACUCGGUCAGUACCAUGUAGAUAUCAGUGCACAGUUAGUGCUGCACCACACUGACGCUUGGUCAGUACCAUGUAGAUAUCAUUAGUGCUGUGCCACGCUGACACUCGGUCAGUACCGUGUAGAUAUCAGUGCACGGUUAGUGCUGCCUCACGCCGAUGCUCGGUCAGUACCAUGUAGAUAUCAUUAGUGCUGCACCACGCCGACACUCGGUCAGUACCGUGUAGAUAUCAGUGCACGGUUAGUGCUGCGCCACGCUGACACUCGGUCAGUACCAUGUAGAUAUCAGUGCACGGUUAGUGCUGUGCCAUGCUGACACUCAGUCAGUACCGUGUAGAUAUCAGUGCACGGUUAGUGCUGCAUCACGCCGACACUCAGUCGGUACCGUGUACAUAUCAGUGCAUGGUUAGUGCUGUGCCAUGCUGACGCUCGGUCAGUACUGUGUAGAUAUCAGUGCACGGUUAGUGCUGCACCACGCUGACGCUUGGUCAGUACUGUGUAGACAUCAGUGCACGGUUAGUACUGCACCACCCUGACGCUCAGUCAGUACUGUGUAGAUAUCAGUGCACGGUUAGUGCUGUGCCACAGUGACAGUCAGUAUCGUGUAGAUAUCAGUGCACAGUUAGUGCUGCGCUACGCCGACACUUGGUCAGUACUGUGCUGAUGUUGGUGCACAGAUCAGUGCUGUGCCACACCAACGCUUAGUCAGUACCUUGCACAGGUUAGUGCUGUGCCACACCAAUGCUUGGUCAGUACCGUGUUGAUUUUGGUGCACUUGUUGGUGCUGUGCCACCCUGAUGCUUGGUCAGUCCCAUGCCGAUGUCAG